rnacentral:rRNA from 1 species
UCAGGCCUAACACAUGCAAGUCAAACGGCAGCACGGGUGCUUGCACCUGGUGGCGAGUGGCGAACGGGUGAGUAAAGUAUCGGAACGUGCCUGGUAGUGGGGGAUAACUAGUCGGAAGACUAGCUAAUACCGCAUACGAUCUAAGGAUGAAAGCAGGGGACCUUCGGGCCUUGUGCUAUCAGAGCGGCCGAUAUCUGAUUAGCUAGUUGGUGGGGUAAAAGCCCACCAAGGCGACGAUCAGUAGCUGGUCUGAGAGGACGACCAGCCACACUGGAACUGAGACACGGUCCAGACUCCUACGGGAGGCAGCAGUGGGGAAUUUUGGACAAUGGGGGCAACCCUGAUCCAGCAAUGCCGCGUGAGUGAAGAAGGCCCUCGGGUUGUAAAGCUCUUUUGUCAGGGAAGAAAAGGCUGUGGCUAAUAUCCACAGCUG